GUAAAGGUGGAUAAAAAAAACUGAUAUUGCGAAGUUUUAUCGCGAGUGAAAGCUUUUAUAAAGUAUAAUUCUAUUGGUUUUCGGAAGUAGUUCUUUAAGUUAAAUAGAGUGUGAAGCAAAACCGGCAGGAUUAGAAAGGCGAGCGAUCCCAUUCAACGUGGGUGUUUGUUCUGGACCGCCAGAAUCCGGACCGUCAUCACACUCGGUCGUCGCUAGGUGGCAAGCAGCCUGACCACCACCUUGGGUCCGGGUCACCUAAUACCCGUAGCACCCGGCUGUGCGGCCGCUCUAGGAAACGACGAUUUCGAACCGAUCCGAAGAACCCACGUGCGUCGACGCCAUCCGUAGCCAUCCUUCGUUGGAUCUCCAAAGCCAGCUGGCCAGCAAG